ensembl:lncRNA
CUCCACUUCAAUUUACGAAUGAAAACACCCUUCACCUUUGCUGCUGUGAAUUUCUUAGAUACACAUGGUCAAGACAAUCUGAGAAUUAUGAGGCUCCAGGACCAAUUAGGGCUGUUUGUGUUGACGUAAAGUCUGGGGGAGUUUUUUUUCUUCCCUUUGCAAGUAUUUAUGAUACUGACAGAUGCAACAGGAAAAAAAAAAAAUUCCCGAAUGAGAAUAAGCUUUGUGGGACAACGAGGAUAAGGAUUCAAGGUGAAGAGCAGCCCAGGGCUUUGUUUAAGCCACCAGAUCUAUGCGUGCUGCCACGUGACGUGAAGGUGGGGACACAGCCACUGCCACGGGUGCCAACACCCCCCAGGCGCACUGCAGAGGGGUGGUUGAAGCUGCACAGCAAACCUGCAGGCAAGGUGUUCCUACCAUUUCGCAGGAACCAGCAGAGGGACUGCCAACUCUUUGUCUUGUCAAGAAAGGACAAAUUUUAAAGUACCACUUACAACCACUGGCAUUUUGUACCAAACAAGAGACAUGUUGGCACCAAAAGCAAAGGAAAUCAACAGUCUUGGAAGUUUUUUAAAAUGGGAUCGUCCCCACUUUGAAGGAACAAGGCUUUCCUGUUCUGGAAAUGUUUGUGCUGCCAGGAGUCCAGAAGAUGAAAGAAAAUGGAGAGAGGCCCCUUUACGUGGAGCUGGGGCUGGGCUCCCAGGAACCAUGGGUUCCCAGGACAGUGCCGAGCUGUGGGCUGAAGGCAUCUCAGAAAGCUAUACAGGUCAGAGGGCAGGCUGUUCUGGCAUAUGGAACUGAUGACAAGGCAGAAGAGUUAAGGGGAUGCUGGGUCCUACCCUCCAAUUAUACAGAUAGGAACACAAGAUCUAGAGAGGGGAAGUGACCUGUCCAAGGUCACACAGCAUCCAGCAGCCAAGGCAGGACUUGAUCCCACAACUUCUGAGUUUUCCUCCCAGACCCCUCUCCCCAUCCUCCAGGGCCCUCUCCCAGGAGUGCUCCUGAACUUUUCUGUUUGGUGGACCCACACAACAACUACUCCAACCCCUCCCAACAUCCUGCAUCACCAGGUUUCAAAAUCACUCCUGGCUUUCCAAGGGAAACAUAGUUUGGUUUUGGUUCUUUCUUUUCUCCCACUCAUAUAAGGAAAUCUGAGAGCCCUUUCUAAUUGUUUGGUCAAGACUGCAGACAGGCAACGAGGCAUGCCACAAAUAAUAUCCUGAGCCUGGGGAAUCCAAGGCCACCACUGGCCUGGGGAAAGAUGGGACACCAGGCCUGUCCCUGGUGCUUGCUCAGCACAUGAGUCCCGAGUUCUUGGAACACAGAGGGGUGUUUGCCAAGCUUCCCAGAUCCCUGAUGUGGGGCCUUGUCAGGGAAGACUGAGGGAGUCUAUACCAAGCCCCCGGAGGCUGGGGCUUUAGUGGUUGCAGGUGCAGACUGAGUCUAUGCAGACUUGGCACCUGUGGGCCCUCCCAGAAGUGGGGCCCUGCAGUCUAGCCUCUCUUGCAGCUAGGUGUGGUCGUGUGACUAAGUUCUGGUCAGUGGGAUAUGAUCACAAAGUGAUGUGCUCAACUUAAGUAAAGACAGGGGCAUGGCCUUCUUUGCUCCUCCCUUCUUGCUGAUUAGACAGUAGAUGUGAUGACCAGAGUUCCAGCAGCCAUUUUGGAGCCUGAGGUGACUCUAGGAAUAGCAAGAACAAGAUAGGAGAAAUCUAGGCCCUGACAUUGUGGAGUACCCCACGUGGGAAAUGAAUCUCCAUCUUCCUUUUUUUUUCUUUUGCCACACUGUAUGGCUUGUGGCCCUCAGCACUGAAAGCUUGGAGUCCUAACCACUGGACCACCAGGAAAUUCCCAAUUUCCAUAUUCCUAAAGCCACAAUUAUUUGGCGUUUCCUUUGAUUUGUGGACAAUACUAUUCUUAAGUAAUGUACCAUUUUUUGGCUGGGAAGUGAGUUGCGGUCAUUUGCAGAGGGUCUAUGUGUAAGAGGCUCAAGGAAGCUCUGUGAUGAAACUGAUAAUUAUUGUGUGUAAGAAUAAUCGCUGACAUUUAUCAGUGUGUGUGUGUGUGUGUGUGUAAAACACUCAGCCCAGUGCCUGGCUCACAGGAAGAACCCAAUAAACGUUAGUAACUGUACUGUCA